rnacentral:rRNA from 1 species
UACGUAGGGGGCAAGCGUUGUCCGGAAUCAUUGGGCGUAAAGGGCGUGUAGGCGGUCCGGUAAGUCCGCUGUGAAAGUCGGGGGCUCAACCCUCGAAUGCCGGUGGAUACUGUCGGGCUAGAGUGCGGAAGAGGCGAGUGGAAUUCCUGGUGUAGCGGUGAAAUGCGCAGAUAUCAGGAGGAACACCUAUUGCGAAGGCAGCUCGCUGGGACGUAACUGACGCUGAGACGCGAAAGCGUGGGGAGCAAACAGG